ACCGAUAUCUGGUUGAUUCUGCCAGUAGUCAUAUGCUUGUUUCAAGGACUAAGCCAUGCAUGCCUCAGAAUCACUGAUUUGCAGGAAUCUGCGCAUGGCUCAUUACAUCAGACGUAAUCUGCCGCAAAUAUUUUGCGGUUUCCGCAAGACUGGAUACCUUGGCGAAACGCCAAGCUAAUACAUGAAUCGAAUGGGCGUCCUCCGUUUAAGGCGGGGAGGGCUUCGGCCUGAACUUGCUGUGAGGCGCUCUGCGAAUGAAUGAAAUUAAAACCAAUGCCGCGGACGCGGCAGCAUCACUGAGAAGUGUUGAAUCAAUUCAUUCCGUGCGAAAGCUGAAUUUUUCAGCGUCUUUUGACGAACAACUGCCCUAUCAGCCAGUGAUGGCCGUGUAGUGGACUGCCAUGGCGUUGACGGGAGCGGGGGAUUAGGGUUCGAUUCCGGAGAGGGAGCCUGAGAAACGGCUACCACUUCUACGGAGGGCAGCAGGCGCGCAAAUUGCCCAAUGCCAAAACAAAUGAUGAGGCAGCGAAAAGAAAUAGGUGCCCCAAACGCCUUGCGCUUGGGGCUUUCAAUGGGGGAUAUUUAAAACCAUCCAACAUCGAGUAACAAUUGGAGGACAAGUCUGGUGCCAGCACCCGCGGUAAUUCCAGCUCCAAGAGCGUAUAUUAACGCUGUUGCUGUUAAAGGGUUCGUAGUUGAAUUGUGGGACACCAAGCGCACAAGCAAGUCCCGCCCACUUCGGGUUGGUGACCCUUGACCUUGCGGUUCGUGAACAUUGAUACAAGAAGCACGGGAGUGGUUCCUUUCCGAUUCACGCAUGUCAUGCAUGCCGGGGGGCGCCCGUGAUUUUUACUGUGACUAAAAAAGUGCGACCAAAGCAGUCGUUCGACAUGAAUUAGAAAGCAUGGGAUAACAAAGGAGCAACCUACGGUACUACCGUUUUGGCUUUUUGUUGGUUUUAAAAGUCUGUGGGAGAUUAUGGUUUCGUGCGACCGGCGGCUGGGGUCCGUCCCCGCGCUUUUUGCUUUGUGGGGUUCGCCUUGUGCGGCGGACUUCGGCGUCCAGGAAUGAAGGAGGGUUGUUCGGGGGAGAACGUACUUGGGCGUGAGUGGUGAAAUACUUAGACCGCCCAAAGACGAACUACAGCGAAGGCAUUCUCCAAGGAUACCUUCCUCAAUCAAGAACCAAAGUGUGGAGAUCGAAGAUGAUUAGAGACCAUUGUAGUCCACACCACAAACGGUGACACCCAUGAAUUGG
rnacentral:rRNA from 1 species